AGAGUUUGAUCCUGGCUCAGGAUGAACGCUAGCUACAGGCUUAACACAUGCAAGUCGAGGGGAAACGGCAUUGAGUGCUUGCACUCUUUGGACGUCGACCGGCGCACGGGUGAGUAACGCGUAUCCAACCUUCCCAUUACUGUGGGAUAACCUGCCGAAAGGCAGACUAAUACCGCAUAGUCUUCGAUGACGGCAUCAGAUUUGAAGUAAAGAUUUAUCGGUAAUGGAUGGGGAUGCGUCUGAUUAGCUUGUUGGCGGGGUAACGGCCCACCAAGGCGACGAUCAGUAGGGGUUCUGAGAGGAAGGUCCCCCACAUUGGAACUGAGACACGGUCCAAACUCCUACGGGAGGCAGCAGUGAGGAAUAUUGGUCAAUGGGCGAGAGCCUGAACCAGCCAAGUAGCGUGCAGGAUGACGGCCCUAUGGGUUGUAAACUGCUUUUGUAUGGGGAUAAAGUUAGGGACGUGUCCCUAUUUGCAGGUACCAUACGAAUAAGGACCGGCUAAUUCCGUGCCAGCAGCCGCGGUAAUACGGAAGGUCCAGGCGUUAUCCGGAUUUAUUGGGUUUAAAGGGAGCGUAGGCUGGAGAUUAAGUGUGUUGUGAAAUGUAGACGCUCAACGUCUGAAUUGCAGCGCAUACUGGUUUCCUUGAGUACGCACAACGUUGGCGGAAUUCGUCGUGUAGCGGUGAAAUGCUUAGAUAUGACGAAGAACUCCGAUUGCGAAGGCAGCUGACGGGAGCGCAACUGACGCUUAAGCUCGAAGGUGCGGGUAUCAAACAGGAUUAGAUACCCUGGUAGUCCGCACAGUAAACGAUGGAUGCCCGCUGUUGGUACCUGGUAUCAGCGGCUAAGCGAAAGCAUUAAGCAUCCCACCUGGGGAGUACGCCGGCAACGGUGAAACUCAAAGGAAUUGACGGGGGCCCGCACAAGCGGAGGAACAUGUGGUUUAAUUCGAUGAUACGCGAGGAACCUUACCCG
rnacentral:rRNA from 1 species